UGGGGAAUAUUGCACAAUGGGCGCAAGCCUGAUGCAGCCAUGCCGCGUGUAUGAAGAAGGCCUUCGGGUUGUAAAGUACUUUCAGCGGGGAGGAAGGCGAUAAGGUUAAUAACCUUGUCGAUUGACGUUACCCGCAGAAGAAGCACCGGCUAACUCCGUGCCAGCAGCAGCGGUAAUACGGAGGGUGCAAGCGUUAAUCGGAAUUACUGGGCGUAAAGCGCACGCAGGCGGUCUGUCAAGUCGGAUGUGAAAUCCCCGGGCUCAACCUGGGAACUGCAUUCGAAACUGGCAGGCUAGAGUCUUGUAGAGGGGGGUAGAAUUCCAGGUGUAGCGGUGAAAUGCGUAGAGAUCUGGAGGAAUACCGGUGGCGAAGGCGGCCCCCUGGACAAAGACUGACGCUCAGGUGCGAAAGCGUGGGGAGCAAACA
rnacentral:rRNA from 1 species